GACCUUCAGCAGCACAUAUGCUAAAAUUGGAAUGACAGAGAGAAGAUUAGAGUGGCCCUUGCACAAGGAUGACAUGCAAAUUCAUGAAGUGUUUUAUAUUUAA